CAGUCGAACGGGAUCUUCGGAUUCUAGUGGCGGACGGGUGAGUAACGCGUAAGAAUCUAACUUCAGGACGGGGACAACAGUUGGAAACGACUGCUAAUACCCGAUAUGCCGCGAGGUGAAACCUAAUUGGCCUGAAGAAGAGCUUGCGUCUGAUUAGCUAGUUGGUGGGGUAAGAGCCUACCAAGGCGACGAUCAGUAGCUGGUCUGAGAGGAUGAGCAGCCACACUGGGACUGAGACACGGCCCAGACUCCUACGGGAGGCAGCAGUGGGGAAUUUUCCGCAAUGGGCGAAAGCCUGACGGAGCAACGCCGCGUGAGGGAGGAAGGUCUUUGGAUUGUAAACCUCUUUUCUCAAGGAAGAAGUUCUGACGGUACUUGAGGAAUCAGCCUCGGCUAACUCCGUGCCAGCAGCCGCGGUAAUACGGGGGAGGCAAGCGUUAUCCGGAAUUAUUGGGCGUAAAGCGUCCGCAGGUGGUCAGCCAAGUCUGCCGUCAAAUCAGGUUGCUUAACGACCUAAAGGCGGUGGAAACUGGCAGACUAGAGAGCAGUAGGGGUAGCAGGAAUUCCCAGUGUAGCGGUGAAAUGCGUAGAGAUUGGGAAGAACAUCGGUGGCGAAAGCGUGCUACUGGGCUGUAUCUGACACUCAGGGACGAAAGCUAGGGGAGCGAAAGGGAUUAGAUACCCCUGUAGUCCUAGCCGUAAACGAUGGAUACUAGGCGUGGCUUGUAUCGACCCGAGCCGUGCCGAAGCUAACGCGUUAAGUAUCCCGCCUGGGGAGUACGCACGCAAGUGUGAAACUCAAAGGAAUUGACGG
rnacentral:rRNA from 1 species